rnacentral:rRNA from 1 species
GUGAAAUUGAACUCGCUGUGAAGAUGCAGUGUACCCGCGGCAAGACGGAAAGACCCCGUGAACCUUUACUAUAGCUUGACACUGAACAUUGAGCCUUGAUGUGUAGGAUAGGUGGGAGGCUUUGAAGUGUGGACGCCAGUCUGCAUGGAGCCGACCUUGAAAUACCACCCUUUAAUGUUUGAUGUUCUAACGUGGACCCGUGAUCCGGGUUGCGGACAGUGUCUGGUGGGUAGUUUGACUGGGGCGGUCUCCUCCUAAAGAGUAACGGAGGAGCACGAAGGUUGGCUAAUCCUGGUCGGACAUCAGGAGGUUAGUGCAAUGGCAUAAGCCAGCUUGACUGCGAGCGUGACGGCGCGAGCAGGUGCGAAAGCAGGUCAUAGUGAUCCGGUGGUUCUGAAUGGAAGGGCCAUCGCUCAACGGAUAAAAGGUACUCCGGGGAUAACAGGCUGAUACCGCCCAAGAGUUCAUAUCGACGGCGGUGUUUGGCACCUCGAUGUCGGCUCAUCACAUCCUGGGGCUGAAGUAGGUCCCAAGGGUAUGGCUGUUCGCCAUUUAAAGUGGUACGCGAGCUGGGUUUAGAACGUCGUGAGACAGUUCGGUCCCUAUCUGCCGUGGGCGCUGGAGAACUGAGGGGGGCUGCUCCUAGUACGAGAGGACCGGAGUGGACGCAUCACUGGUGUUCGGGUUGUCAUGCCAAUGGCACUGCCCGGUAGCUAAAUGCGGAAGAGAUAAGUGCUGAAAGCAUCUAAGCACGAAACUUGCCCCGAGAUGAGU